GACGAACGCUGGCGGCGUGCCUAAUACAUGCAAGUAGAACGCACAGUUUAUACCGUAGCUUGCUACACCAUAGACUGUGAGUUGCGAACGGGUGAGUAACGCGUAGGUAACCUGCCUGGUAGCGGGGGAUAACUAUUGGAAACGAUAGCUAAUACCGCAUAAUAUUGAUUAUUGCAUGAUAAUUGAUUGAAAGAUGCUAUUGCAUCACUACCAGAUGGACCUGCGUUGUAUUAGCUAGUAGGUGAGGUAACGGCUCACCUAGGCGACGAUACAUAGCCGACCUGAGAGGGUGAUCGGCCACACUGGGACUGAGACACGGCCCAGACUCCUACGGGAGGCAGCAGUAGGGAAUCUUUGGCAAUGGACGAAAGUCUGACCGAGCAACGCCGCGUGAGUGAAGAAGGUUUUCGGAUCGUAAAGCUCUGUUGUAAGAGAAGAACGGGUGUGAGAGUGGAAAGUUCACACUGUGACGGUAUCUUACCAGAAAGGGACGGCUAACUACGUG
rnacentral:rRNA from 1 species